rnacentral:rRNA from 1 species
AAGGGCACCACAAGAACGCGUGGAGCAUGUGGCUUAAUUUGACUCAACGCGGGAAAUCUUACCGGGUCCGGACACACUGAAGAUUGACAGGCAAUAUUAAUAUUUCACAAGUACUUCGGUAUCUUUGUCGAUUUAUUAUGUUAAAUAUGCUAGUCCUUUCAUGAUUAUGUGAUAGGUGGUGCAUGGCCGUUCUUAGUUCGUGGAGUGAUCUGUCUGCUUAAUUGCGUUUCACUAAGGAUCUAUUUAUUAACGUGUGUUGCGGCACUUUGACCCCUCAUUUUUAUUAAUGUGCGCGUGUCUUAGUUUGCUUAGCUCACACAAUUAGAUCCUGAAAGCAACGAACGUGACCGCAACCUCUUGUUGCCUUUAUACCAAACAUGUUGGUUUUAAAGAAUCCUUUUUUUAUACCUUCGUGCAAAAAGGCUUUUUAAACUAGAGGGACCGCUGUUAUCUUCUUAAACCAGAGGAAGAUUGCGGCAAUAACAGGUCUGUGAUGCCCUUAGAUGUUCCGGGCUGCACACGUGCUACAAUGAUUAUUGCAGUGAGCAUCUCAUUUUUUACACACCGCAUUCGCGAGUCCAUUUAUUCAUCUUCGGGUGCUUUAAAUGUGUAUCUCUGCGAGCGGUAAAGCCUGCUUCGAGAGUAAGUGGGUAAUCAAUUAGAAGUAAUGAUUUCCUUUUUUUAUAGCACACAUAUAUACAGCAUUUAUGCCCGGGUUGGCCUUGUUGUCAGCUUCUGUGUGUAUAGAUGUAUAUCUCAAUUAGAUUCUUUAUGUCUCUUUUUAGAUUCUGUAUGUGCAAUUGUCAAUUCAUGGUGGGGACAGACCAUUGUUAAUUGUUGGUCUCGGUCUUAACUAGGAAUGCCUUGUACGGGUCUUUGGUUCAACAAACCACCCGGAAUACGUCCCUGCCCUUUGUACACACCGCCCGUCGCUCUUACCGAUGGACUUCUCUGUGAGUUUGAGGGACUGGGUAUUUUUGCCUAUGGAAACUUAAACGAACAGUGUGGUCUAAAGGAAAGAGAAGUCGUAACAAGGCAUCGGUAGGUGAACCUGCAGAAGGAUCA